UCCAGCCAUGCCGCGUGAGUGACGAAGGCCUUAGGGUUGUAAAGCUCUUUUGGCGGGGACGAUAAUGACGGUACCCGCAGAAUAAGCCCCGGCUAACUUCGUGCCAGCAGCCGCGGUAAUACGAGGGGGGCUAGCGUUGUUCGGAAUCACUGGGCGUAAAGCGCACGUAGGCGGAUUUGUUAGUCAGGGGUGAAAUCCCGGGGCUCAACCUCGGAACUGCCUUUGAUACUGCAAGUCUCGAGUCCGGAAGAGGUGAGUGGAAUUCCUAGUGUAGAGGUGAAAUUCGUAGAUAUUAGGAGAACACCAGUGGCGAAGGCGGCUCACUGGUCCGGUACUGACGCUGAGGUGCGAAAGCGUGGGGAGCAAAACAGGAUUAGAUACCCUGGUAGUCCACGCCGUAAACUAUGGAUGCUAGCCGUCGGCAAGCUUGCUUGUCGGUGGCGGCAGCUAACGCAUUAAGCAUCCCGCC
rnacentral:rRNA from 1 species